rnacentral:rRNA from 1 species
GUAGGUGGCAAGCGUUGUCCGGAAUUAUUGGGCGUAAAGCGCGCGCAGGCGGUUCUUUAAGUCUGAUGUGAAAGCCCACGGCUCAACCGUGGAGGGUCAUUGGAAACUGGAGAACUUGAGUACAGAAGAGGAAAGCGGAAUUCCACGUGUAGCGGUGAAAUGCGUAGAGAUGUGGAGGAACACCAGUGGCGAAGGCGGCUUUCUGGUCUGUAACUGACGCUGAGGCGCGAAAGCGUGGGGAGCAAACAGGAUUAGAUACCCUGGUAGUCCACGCCGUAAACGAUGAGUGCUAAGUGUUAGGGGGUUUCCGCCCCCCUUAGUGCUGCAGCUAACGCAUUAAGCACUCCGCCCUGGGAGUACGGCCGCAAGGCUGA